GGGUCAGUAGGUUGGUCGUGCCACCGGUACGUACUGGUCUCACCGAUUCCUCCUUCCUGAAGAACCGUAAUGCCAUUAAUUUGGUGUUGCGGGGAAACAGGACUGUUACUUUGAAAAAAUUAGAGUGUUUAAAGCAAGCUAACGCUUGAAUACAUUAGCAUGGAAUAAUGAAAUAGGACGAUCGAUCCUAUUUUGUUGGUUUCUAGGAUUGACGUA
rnacentral:rRNA from 1 species